rnacentral:rRNA from 1 species
AAGGGGGCGGCUACACAUGCAAGUCGAACGGUAACAGGAAGCAGCUUGCUGCUUCGCUGACGAGUGGCGGACGGGUGAGUAAUGUCUGGGAAACUGCCUGAUGGAGGGGGAUAACUACUGGAAACGGUAGCUAAUACCGCAUAACGUCGCAAGACCAAAGAGGGGGACCUUCGGGCCUCUUGCCAUCGGAUGUGCCCAGAUGGGAUUAGCUAGUAGGUGGGGUAACGGCUCACCUAGGCGACGAUCCCUAGCUGGUCUGAGAGGAUGACCAGCCACACUGGAACUGAGACACGGUCCAGACUCCUACGGGAGGCAGCAGUGGGGAAUAUUGCACAAUGGGCGCAAGCCUGAUGCAGCCAUGCCGCGUGUAUGAAGAAGGCCUUCGGGUUGUAAAGUACUUUCAGCGGGGAGGAAGGCGAUAAGGUUAAUAACCUUGUCGAUUGACGUUACCCGCAGAAGAAGCACCGGCUAACUCCGUGCCAGCAGCCGCGGUAAUACGGAGGGUGCAAGCGUUAAUCGGAAUUACUGGGCGUAAAGCGCACGCAGGCGGUCUGUCAAGUCGGAUGUGAAAUCCCCGGGCUCAACSUGGGAACUGCAUUCGAAACUGGCAGGCUAGAGUCUUGUAGAGGGGGGUAGAAUUCCAGGUGUAGCGGUGAAAUGCGUAGAGAUCUGGAGGAAUACCGGUGGCGAAGGCGGCCCCCUGGACAAAGACUGACGCUCAGGUGCGAAAGCGUGGGGGAGCAAACAGGAUUAGAUACCCUGGUAGUCCACGCCGUAAACGAUGUCGACUUGGAGGUUGUGCCCUUGAGGCGUGGCUUCCGGAGCUAACGCGUUAAGUCGACCGCCUGGGGAGUACGGCCGCAAGGUUAAAACUCAAAUGAAUUGACGGGGGCCCGCACAAGCGGUGGAGCAUGUGGUUUAAUUCGAUGCAACGCGAAGAACCUUACCUACUCUUGACAUCCAGAGAACUUUCCAGAGAUGGAUUGGUGCCUUCGGGAACUCUGAGACAGGUGCUGCAUGGCUGUCGUCAGCUCGUGUUGUGAAAUGUUGGGUUAAGUCCCGCAACGAGCGCAACCCUUAUCCUUUGUUGCCAGCGGUCCGGCCGGGAACUCAAAGGAGACUGCCAGUGAUAAACUGGAGGAAGGUGGGGAUGACGUCAAGUCAUCAUGGCCCUUACGAGUAGGGCUACACACGUGCUACAAUGGCGCAUACAAAGAGAAGCGACCUCGCGAGAGCAAGCGGACCUCAUAAAGUGCGUCGUAGUCCGGAUUGGAGUCUGCAACUCGACUCCAUGAAGUCGGAAUCGCUAGUAAUCGUGGAUCAGAAUGCCACGGUGAAUACGUUCCCGGGCCUUGUACACACCGCCCGUCACACCAUGGGAGUGGGUUGCAAAAGAAGUAGGUAGCUUAACCUUCGGGAGGGCGCUACCACGUUGGAUAAU